UUAUUUCGUGUUGUAGUGCAACAUUGACUGGCCUUCAGUUUCCUGGAUCCUCUUUCUUGCCAUUUUUGAAGACUGGAGUGACAUUGACUUUCUUCCAAUCCUCACAUGUUUCUCCUGUGCUCUAUGACCUUGGAGAGUGGCCUGAUCUCAGGCACCUCUUCUAUUCUCCAUCACCAUGGAGAGUGCCUUAGCAAUAACAUCUGGCAGCUCCCUCACCCCUGGUGGGUGCAUCCCACAGGGGUCCCUGGAUUUGCAGGUGUCAUGUUUGCCUAAAUGAUCUAACCUGAUCCUGCUCAACCAAGGGAAAGUCUUCCUUGCUCCAGACUUUCUCUCUUGCUUCCAUGGUUUGGGAGUCCUGAGAGCUGGCCUCAGCAGCAAAGACUGAAGCAAACAAGACAUUCAGUAACUCCACAUACUCUAUUUGAUUCCAAAUGGACCUUUCUAUAAUCUCUACUACACAUCUGAAGUUGGACAGAAACACAGUACAUGUUUGUGAGUGGACAAGCAUGGAUUUCUGCAGGGCUUUUUUGUUUAGAAGCUGGUUGCCGCCCACGAAGAAAAAGAUCAUUCUUUGUCAUGAACUCUCCCAUCACCCUGAGCUUUCUCCACUGCCACCAGCACUAUACCUAGUGAGAGUAAAGUAAGAAAACACCUCCUAUUUAACAAAGAGCUACUCCCACAUGGGAUUAUAAACACCAUUAAAGGCCUGCUAAAAUUCAA